rnacentral:snoRNA from 1 species
AUCCUUCUGUGGUUCAUAAGAGUGAGAUUGGGGGUUCAAGCCGUAGUGUGGCAUGUGCCUUUCUCAAACCUUAUUACAACCUUGGCACGUUACCUGCCUGCUG